rnacentral:rRNA from 1 species
UAGCAUAAUCAUUAGUUUUUUAAUUGAGAACUAGAAUGAAAGGUUAAAUAAAAAAUAAUCUUUAUUAAAAUUAAAUUUUUUGAAUUUGUUUUUUUAGUAAAAAAACUAAAAUUAAUAAAAAAGACGAUAAGACCCUAUAAAGCUUUAUAAUAUAAAAAUUUAAUUAUUUAUUAGAUUAUUUAAUUAAUUUUUUUUUUGUUAUUUAAUUGGGGUGAUUUAAAGAUUUAAAAAACUCUUUAUAAAAAUUAUUUCAUAAUUAAAUGUUUUUUGAUCCUUAAAAUUUUAAGAUUAAAAAAAUAAGUUACUUUAGGGAUAACAGCGUAAUUUUUUUGAAGAGUUCUAAUCGAUAAAAAAGAUUGCGACCUCGAUGUUGAAUUAAGAUAAAAAUUAGGUGUAGAAGUUUAAUUUUU